rnacentral:rRNA from 1 species
GUCUACGGCCAUACCACCCUGAACGCGCCCGAUCUCGUCUGAUCUCGGAAGCUAAGCAGGGUCGGGCCUGGUUAGUACUUGGAUGGGAGAAAUGGGAUGACAGGAGUCACACC